rnacentral:misc_RNA from 1 species
GAUGAAGAACGCAGCGAAAUGCGAUAAGUAAUGUGAAUUGCAGAAUUCAGUGAAUCAUCGAAUCUUUGAACGCACAUUGCGCCCGCCAGUAUUCUGGCGGGCAUGCCUGUCCGAGCGUCAUUUCAACCAUCAAGCCCCCGGGCUUGUGUUGGGGACCUGCGGCUGCCCGCAGGCCCUGAAAACCAGUGGCGGGCUCGCUGUCACACCGAGCGUAGUAGCAAUCACCUCGCUCAGGGCGUGCUGCGGGUUCCGGCCGUUAAACAGCCUUACAAAACCCAAGGUUGACCUCGGAUCAGGUAGGAAGACCCGCUGAACUUAAGCAUAUCAAUAAGCGAGGA